rnacentral:misc_RNA from 1 species
GUGAGUCAUCGAAUCUUUGAACGCACAUUGCGCCCAUUAGUAUUCUAGUGGGCAUGCCUGUUCGAGCGUCAUUUCAACCCUUAAGCCUAGCUUAGUGUUGGGAAUCUACUUCUCUUAGGAGUUGUAGUUCCUGAAAUACAACGGCGGAUUUGUAGUAUCCUCUGAGCGUAGUAAUUCUUUUCUCGCUUUUGUUAGGUGCUAUAACUCCCAGCCGCUAAACCCCCAAUUUUUUGUGGUUGACCUCGGAUCAGGUAGGAAUACCCGCUGAACUUAAGCAUAUCAAUAAGCGGAGGA